rfam:Tetragenococcus muriaticus 3MR10-3 WGS_Sequence116_019, whole genome shotgun sequence.
UUAUCCUUUAAGUUAGUCCCGUGAGGCUAAAAAGGAAGUGACUGCUUAUAAAACAUUGUUUUAGAUUAUUGUAAGCUUUUAAACAAUAAUUCAUGAUAGACCGGUGUAUGCUCACUCCUGCCUCCAACGGGCAGGAGUUUUUUUGU